UAUUGACCUGGGGAAUAAUAUGGAUUUAUGUGGCUGUGAAAAUUGACUUUGUGUUUGUGAGUGGGAAAAUGUGAGUGUGUGUCUGUGUGUGUGUGUGUGUGCGCGCGCGCUUUUCUGAACCAGGGACCCCACUUGACAAAGCUGUCUUAACCUGCCCAGACAUGUCAUGGUGACAUCACAGCUGACGUCACAGGAUGUCCGGAACUGGUGGUCGCAGCUGAAGAUGCUUUCCAACCUGCCUCUGUGCUUAGUCGGCCAGCGAUGGUCAGCGGCGGUUCCGGACCGCUUUCUUCAAGAUGGCCGUCGUUGGUCUUCAACUAAACUCCUUCUCUCCACUCUAUUUCUAUCUUUUUAUUUUAUUUUCUACCUAUUUUUUUAUUUUUAUCAGCUCAAGUAGCCGGCAACUCGCACUGUGGUGUGGACACGUCUUAGAUGCUCCCCAAUUAGUGUAAUGACUCACUAAAUGAUCCUAAUUACUGUGGGGGGUCCCAAUUAACUCUAAUUGCCAAUUACUGGCGUCCAGGCCUCUGUGUGAGUUUCCGGGUACUUGAGCUGAUCAUAUACUACUAAGGUACACUCCAACGAGCUCUAUACGGCUGACAUCCCCGGCAGGCCAAUUGUAUCUAACAACAACACAGCAACAGAACGAGUCUCGAAAUUCCUGGACCACUAUUUAAUACAUAUUCCGACAGCACUGCCAUCCCAUGUACAAGACACACCACACCUCCUCAGAAUAAUCAGACAUAUAAACAAUACGCGUACGUUUGGCAGGGACACAAUACUCGCCACGCUAGAUGUGACAUCACUGUACAGGCGUCGCCACCCUUAAAGGGACCGAAAAGUGAAAAAUAACCCCCAUAUUUUUACCCACUGUCGUGCACAACAUCAUUGUUUGAUAAGACACAGAAAGCAUUACUUCUCAAUUCGGCAUAUUUUUUACGUAUAAAUAUUUUGAACAUUGCCGGAACAUGGACGGUGCUGCCAACAAACGGCGAAAAAGAGAAACUUGGGUUUCGGCGGUUUCCGGUCCAGGGCUCCCAGGGAUUGGUCAAUCCUUACGACGUGAGAGCUAAUUUUAUAGAAAACAAAGUUGACGCAGAGGAUCUUACAGCUAAACGACAUUUUAAAAAUGACGCUCACUUCCAUAGUUUCUACGUUAAUAAAGCAUUCAGCUACUUCGCCGCUACGGGCUACGAUCCAUCGCGCCAUCUGCAAGGCCGUCUGUGUUAUCGCGUUUAUUGUUUACGUCGUGGGUGGUCAUGUUGGUCUCGCGAAAUAGUAAGUGGAAGUGGAUGACAUGUUCGUGGCUGCUGUGUCACGUAUUCAGGAUACCUACAUCUGCCUGGUGUCGUUUUGGUGUUCGGGGAUGCAAAAAUCAUGUUCGUUCAUCUUCGUUUUCUGCCACAAGAGGAGUGAGCGCGAGAACGAAUGUGGUUCGAAACACUGGGCUAUAUAGACACAGCAGUCGUGUCGUGUGUGCUGAGCUUAUUUUGAAGCAAACCAAUGCCGGCCGGGGGGGUGGAGGUAUGGGUGCCGCGAGUGCAGGGCGGGAGCGGAGGUGUUCGGGCUGGUGCUGAAGGUGCGGGAUAUUCCUCUAGCUCUGGGUGUCGAAUGCGCCCGCUGUUUUGGAUCAGUUUUGGCUCAGUAACCCUAUGCUUCGUAAUUUUUGUAACUGCUCACAUGAGAACCCAGCCAAUUAAUUAACGAGGAACAGAAGGUUCGUUACGCACUGCACCAAGCUAACCACGUAAAAAAAGAAAUAAACAAAACAUGAUUGUGUUCAAACGACCAUGUUAGAUGGGCCAGGGAGCCUGGAGCCGGGGGGGGGGGGGCAACUGCCUCCCCUUGACAGCGCCCCUGGUUGCAAACUUUGUGACAUUUAUGGAGUUUUUGGACAGGUGCAGAACAUUAGUACGACGUCAACAGUAGGAGAAGAAACCGAUGAGAACUGCUAGCUUGUUUGAAUUGGAGAAGAAUACUUCCUGUGUGAAGAGGUGUAGUUAUAUGACUAAGGAACGCGAAUUAAUUUUCUAGAGAUGCAUCCUCUACACUUGAAUGACCAUUGAAACAGUGAAAGUUCAUUGUCUUAUAAGCCCCACUACUGGAAUUGUUCAGUGUGUGUCACAGCUGUAGUGAGCCAUGCAGGGUUACUACAUCAUAUUCGUCCUAAAUUUGUAGAGUUCCCUUUCUCAGACGCAACCGUCAUUUUUCUUUAUUGCUCUCCCAAUCCUAUCUCCUGAGGUUCUCCAUGCAUUGCAUGGGCACUGCCUUUUCUACUCAUGCUCUCAGGUUCUUGUUCUGUUGAAUAAAUCUUAACUUGAGAGUUUGCAGCCAUCACGCUACUGUGUUUGCCUACUGUGCCUACAUGUCUACUGUGUUUGCCUCUAUCUAUAUUGAUGUGCCAUAACGGUAUGGCACAUCAACAUGCCAAUAACCUACCAACAACAACCAAACAACGUUGCCUAGUCCUACUUUUGGAUGGAAACUACACGAUGUGGUAACAUCCACAUAUAUAAAAUUUUAGUCGACGGAGAUUGGCUGUUUUUGUACAACCUUCAUUGUACUUUUCUUUCGUCUCACUUAGCAUGCAUGAAGAAAAGUUCUCAUGUUCAUCAGGAUGACAGGUCACUGAUGGAUCUGCAGCAUUAUUGUCCCUGUACUCUUUUCACCAACAGAGAAUACAAAAGUGCACAAAUGGUUUUAUAACUCUAUCAAGUACGUCAAAACAUCAGAGGGCAGGAAGUCCUACUCUGUUUCCUAAAUCCCUGGACAAUAAAAAAGAGAUAUAUAGUUUGA